UUGAAAAACCCUAACCCUAGGCCCUCUCACCACAUCUGCAGCCCACCCCCCUUUCACCCCUUCAGCAACCAUUUCAGAAAAUAGGAAAUCAGAGAGGGAGAGUAAGGGAACGGAGAAGAGAAGGGAGGGGCGGGGGACUGUCCGCCGUCACUGCUGCUGUACUGGAACACGCCGUCGCCGCCGAUGCAGAGAGGAGGAUGAGGUACCGCCGUGCUCCUCGCCGCCGCUGUCGAGCAGACCCGUUCGAGAGGAGAGAGUGCCGCGAGCCAGGGACGACGUGAAGAAGAGGAGUCGUCGCACCCAACCGCUGUGUAGCUCGCCAUCACCGCCGUUCCGUCUAUGAAACCUGAGCUCGUGUUGUCGUCCUGAGUUUCGGCGCCGCCGUGGAGGACGAGACGUGUGAGAAAGGAGACGCGCAGGGAAGGAACCAUUCCUCUGCCGCCGCUAUCGCCGGAAUUCCUGGUCGCCGUUGUCGUUCAUGGACGUAUGCUCUGCUCUCUGGUUUCUGUUUUCCCGAGUACCAGAGCUGCUGUUCCAUUCCUGUAUUUCUUUUGAGUUGUGGGUGAUGCCGCUGCCGUUCCAAUCGUAUUGGAGUGACUACCUGCCACAAAUUGGGGAUAAAGGAAAUUGUUACGUCAAAUAAUACGAUUCCGGCUAAUUGAGUGACACAGAUUCGAAGACUCCGUUUGAAGCUGCAGGCGAUUAUAGAUCUUAUUUAUGAGUUAAGUUUAUGACUUGAGUUAUUUUCAUAGAAGUUCCCUCGCUCUUAUUGCUUAACAUUUUUAUUCUAUACAGAGGGAUAGGAUUUGUAUCUAAGGUUUAUUGGAAAUCUUUUGUAUGACAGAUAUUAUUAUUAGUAAUUAUGUGAUUAUUAUUACUUGGUGAUGUUUGCUAUAUGAUUUGAUAAAUAAAAACAAAAAUUUUCCGGUAUUUUUGCUAAAACUGAAUCACGAUAUCGAACUAGAGGCUCAAUAGUAAAUAGUUAAUAAAGGAAAGCAGGUUGGUAACGCCUUCCUUUCGGUACGAUCAUGACGUUCUGGAAGUUGGGUCGUUACAGCUUGUACCUCAAAGAUCCCCAACUUCUCCAUUACAGAGAGUGGCAUAAGAUUUAUACCUGAUCCCAGGUCACACAGAGCCUUCUCAAAGGUCAUGGUGCCUAUGGUAUAGGGUAUUAAGAAUUUACCAGGAUCUUGUUUCUUUUGAGGUAGAGUUUGCUGAACCCAUGUAUCUAGUUCAAUAAUUUGCAAGGGAGGUUUACCUUCCCAAGUCUCAUUACCAAACAACUUGGCAUUCAGCUUCAUGAUGGCUCCUAGAUAUUGAGCAACUUGCUCUCCAGUUACAUCUUCAUCCUCUUCAGAGGAAGAAUAGUUCUCAGAGCUCAUGAAUGGUAGAAGGAGGUUUAAUGGAAUCUCUAUGGUCUCUAUUUGAGCCUCAGAUUCCUUUAGGUCCUCAAUAGGGAACUCCUUCUUAUCUGGGAGACGUCCCAUGAGGUCUUCCUCACUUGGAUUCACGUCCUUCUCCUCCUUUGUGCAUUCGGCCAUAUUGAUUAUAUAAAUGACCUUGCACUCUCUUUUGUAUUGCUUGGGAGAGUACUAGGAGGAGUUUCAGUGAUUUUCUUACUCAGCUGGCCCACUUGUGCCUCCAAAUUUCUAAUGGAGGAUCUUAUUUCCCUCAUGAAACUUAAAGUGGCCUUAGAUAGAUCAAAGACUAUGUUUGCUAAGACAGAGGGGCUCUGCUCAGCAUUCUCUGUCUAUUGUUGAGAAGAUGAUGGAAAAGGCUUGCUAUUGCUAAGCCUGUUUUUUCCACCAUUAUUAAAGCCUUGUUGAGGCUUUUGUUGAUUCUUCCAUGAGAAAUUUGGAUGAUUUCUCCAUGAGGAAUUAUAGGUGUUUCCAAAAGGUUCACCCAUGUAAUUUAUCUCUGCCAUUGCAGGGUUUUCAGGAUCAUAAGCUUCUUCUUCAGAAGAUGCCUUUUUAGUACUGUUGGAUGCAUUUUGUCAUCCAUUCAGACUUUGAGAAAUCACGUUGGCUUGCUGAGUCAACAUUUUGUUUUGAGCCAAUAUGGCAUUUAGAGCAUCAAUUUCAAGAACUCCUCUCUUCUGAGGCGUUUCAUUACUCACAGGAUUCCUCUUACAGGUAUACUUGAAUUGGUUAUUUGCAACCAUGUCAAUGAGUUCUUGAGCUUCUACAGGUGUUUUCUUUAGGUGAAUGGAUCUACCUGCAGAAUGGUCCAGUGACAUCUUAGAGAACUCAGAUAGACCAUAAUAGAAUAUAUCCAAAAUGGUCCACUCUGAAAGCAUGUCAGAAGGACACCUUUUGGUCAUCUGCUUGUAUCUUUCCCAAGCUUCAUAGAGGGAUUCACCAUCUUUUUGUUUGAAGGUCUGAAUAUCCACUCUAAGCUUGCUCAACGUUUGAGGAGGAAAGAACUUAGCCAAGAAGGCCGUGACCAGCUUAUCCCAAGAGUCCAGGCUAUCUUUAGGUUGUGAGUCCAACCAUGUUCUAGCUCUGUCUCUUACAGCAAAAGGGAAAAGCAUGAGCCUGUAGACUUCAGGAUCUACUCUAUUAGUCUUAACAGUCUCACAGAUCUGCAAGAAUUCAGUUAAAAACUGAUAGGGAUCUUCUGAUGGAAGUCCAUGAAACUUGCAGUUCUGUUGCAUUAGAGCAACUAGUUGAGGUUUCAGCUCAAAAUUAUUUGCUCCAAUGGCAGGGAUUGAGAUGCUUCUUCCAUCAAAUUUGGAAGUAGGUGUAGUAUAAUCACCAAUCAUCAUCCUUGCGUUAUUGUUGUUGUUAUUAUUUUCGGCUGCCAUCUCCUCUUCUUUUUCGAAAAUUUCUGUCAUGUCCUCUCCAGAGGGUUGUGCUUUAGCUUCCCUUAGCUUCCUUCUUAGGGUCCUUUCAAGUUCAGGAUCUGCUUCAACAAGAAUAUCCUUGUUCUUUCUCCUGCUCAUAUGAAAAAGAAGGGAACAAAAAAUAAUAAUAGGGAUCCUCUUUACCACAGUUGAGAGAUUCCUUUAUGUUAGUAGAAGAAGAAAAGAAUAGAAGAAGGAAAAGAGGAAAAUUUGAACUCAGAGAGAAAGAGGGGGUUCGAAUUUUAAGAUGAAGAGAAGUGUUAGUAAAUGAAUAAAUAAAUAGAAAGAGAUGAGAGAGAAGAGUUUUCGAAAAGUAACUAAAAUAAAAGAAAAAUAUUAAAGUUAAAAUUCGAAAAUUAAGUAAAGGAAUAAAAUAAAAAUUAAAAUUUGAAACAAUUAGUUAAAAAAAGAAUUUUGAAAAAGAGGUAGGUAAUUUUUGAAAAUUAGAGAGAGAAAAGUAGUUAGGUGGUUUUGAAAAAGAUAAAAAACAAACAAAAAGUCAAUUAGUUAGUUGAAAAAGAUUUGAAAAUCAAUUUUGAAAAGAUAAGAAGUUAGAAAAGAUUUUUGAAAUCAAUUUUGAAAAAGAUAUGAUUCGAAAAAGAUAUGAUUGAAAAGAUAUUUUGGAAAAGAUUUGAUUUUUAAAAUUAAAAUUGAUUACUUGACUAACAAGAAACUAAAAGAUAUGACUCUAGAAUUUAAAAAUUGAACCUUUCUUAACAAGAAAGUAACAAACUUCAAAUUUUUGAAUCAAUCACUUUAAUUGUUAGUAAAGUUUUCGAAAUUUUGAAAUAAAGAUAAGAAAAAGAUUUUGAAAUUAAAUUUUAAAAAUUUUCAAAAAUAAUAAAAAAAUAAAAAAGAUUUGAUUUUUGAAAAAAUUUUGAAAAGAUAGGAUUUUUUUUUAAAUUGAAAAUUUGACUUGACUUAUAAGAAAUAGCUAAGUUUUAAAAAUUUUUGACUAAGUCAACUCAAAUUUUCGAAAAUUAUGAGCAAAAUAAGGAAAAGAUAUUUUUAUUUUAAAAUUUUUAAUGAGGAGAGAGAAAAAAGAAGAAAAGAUGUCAUAUUUGUGUUUUUCUCUUUUUUUUUUGUAAACAACAAGAUUGACACAAGACAUGAAAAAUUAAGAUCAAAACACAUAAUACAUGCAAGAACACUUUGAAUAUCAAGAUGAACACCAAGAACACUUUGAAGAUCAAGAUGAACAUCAAGACUUGUUUUUGAAAAAUUUUUAAGAAAAGAAAACAUGCAAGACAACAAACUUAGAAAUUUUUAAUAUUUAGACACUAAGAAUUCAAAAAUGCAUAUGAGAAACAACAAAAAAUACAAAACAAGAAAAUAUCGAGAUAAAAAAUAUUUAGUAUGUUUUUAGUAUAUUUAGUUGAGUUUUUAGUAUAUUUUUAUUAGUUUUUAGUUAAAAUUCACUUUUCUGGACUUUACUAUGAGUUUGUGUGUUUUUCU